rnacentral:SRP_RNA from 1 species
GCCGGGCGCGGUGGCAAGUGCCUGUAGUCCCAGCUACUCGGGAGGCUGAGGUGGGAGGAUCGAUUGAGCCCAGGAGUUCUGGGCUGUAGUGCGCUAUGCCAAUCAGGUGUCCACACUAAGUUCGGCAUCAGUAUGGUGACCUCCCAGGAGCAGGGGACCACCAGGUUUCCUAAGGAGGGGUUAACUGGCCCAGGUCGGAAACCGAGCAGGUCAAAACUCUGGUGCUGAUCAGCAGUGGGAUCGCACCUGUAAAAUAGCCACUGCACUCCAGCCUGGGCAACACAGGGAGACCCGGUCUCU